rnacentral:ncRNA from 1 species
GGCAAGAUGUCCGCCUGCAACCUGCAGGCCGCAUAAUUGAUCGAGCGGUCCCGUUGACCACGGAUGUACUGGCAACGGAACAGCGCGUUUGAAAGGCCGGGCAGCAUUGCCCGGCCUUUUCGUUU